rnacentral:rRNA from 1 species
AGAGUUUGAUCCUGGCUCAGGAUGAACGCUAGCUACAGGCUUAACACAUGCAAGUCGAGGGGCAGCAUGAUCGAAGCUUGCUUUGAUUGAUGGCGACCGGCGCACGGGUGAGUAACGCGUAUCCAACCUUCCCUAUAGUAGAGAAUAGCCCGGCGAAAGUCGGAUUAAUGCUCUAUGUUGUAUUUAGAAGACAUCUGAAGAAUACCAAAGGUUUACCGCUAUAGGAUGGGGAUGCGUCUGAUUAGGUAGUAGGCGGGGUAACGGCCCACCUAGCCGACGAUCAGUAGGGGUUCUGAGAGGAAGGUCCCCCACAUUGGAACUGAGACACGGUCCAAACUCCUACGGGAGGCAGCAGUGAGGAAUAUUGGUCAAUGGACGGAAGUCUGAACCAGCCAAGUAGCCGUGCAGGAUGACGGCCCUAUGGGUUGUAAACUGCUUUUAUAUAGGGAUAAAGUCGGGGACGUGUCCCCGUUUGUAGGUACUAUAUGAAUAAGGACCGGCUAAUUCCGUGCCAGCCGCAGC